CGCGUAGGCGGCUUUUUAAGUCGGCGAUGAAAUGUGGGGGCUCAACCCUACGCGCUGUUGCCGAUACUGGAAGGCUAGAGAACGUUGGAGGCGGCUGGAAUGAGUGGUGUAGCGGUGAAAUGCGUAGAGAUCACUCAGAACACCAAUUGCGAAGGCAGGCCGCUACGGCGUAUCUGACGCUGAGGCGCGAAGGCAUGGGGAUCAAACA
rnacentral:rRNA from 1 species